GUAUUUCCUAUUGGCGCCCCAUACUUGUAUUGACGAGGUUCAACUUUGCUUAAGCCAGCACUUCUGAAAGAAUAGCUAUGGAAGACUUUUCAGGAUGUUCAGUUGUGCUGAAAACAUGAAUUUUCCACAUAGAUAUAAUUAUAGGCUCAAAACAUGAAUUUUCCACAUAGAUAUAAUUAUAGACAAAGAGGAUGGCAGUAAGAGCACUCUGGAGAAGUGAGAAUAACUUUUGAAAAGGAAAGCAAAUCCAGCCAGAAAUCAAAAUAUUUUCCAUUUCCUUCAGAAAAUUACGCAAUUGUCCCAUCCAAGCAGGCGAAAGGGAAGAGAAAAUCAAGAAGAGAUUUCAAGCUGGAAAUAGUAGAGUGUGCGGAACACAAGGAUAGGUUACAUGACAAGGUAGAGGGGAUCAUUUUUCCAUUCAGAAAAAGGGAAAUAUCUGGAAGUCAGUGGGGAAGAAAAGGUCAAUUGGAUACUCAAAUAGGGCAGACAGCAAUGCAGAACUCCCAAUGGGAGGAAGAAAACAGUAGGUGAAAUCAAAGCACCACUAAACAAGGGACCACAUACAUUUUUGACUUCCUCCAGCAUAUCAGUGGAUUGCAAAAGCGUAGGUGAUUACGUACAAGAGGAUCAAAACUGGAAUAAAGGCAUACAAAUGCUA